CUCACUGCCACUACCCAGCAUCAUGAGAGAUCCUCCAGCUCAUCCCCAGCCCAGGAAAAGGUUUCCCGAUAGCGGGUAUUCUGUGAGAACACUCAGCGGAGAAGCCCGGAUGAUGAAGUGCUGGAGCGCCAUCUUGGAAGUGGAUCCCAGCCAGUCCAGCCUUCCGGUCGUCCAGCCCCAGCCAACAUGGGCUGCUACCCCAUGAGCAACCAUAGAGCCAGAAGACCCAGCUGCACCUCUCCCCUGACCUAUGAAAAUUAUGAAAUAAUAAACCAGUACAUUUGGGAGUUAUGCAGAAAGAGUUAUUUCCCCUGCUGAAAAUUUCCCAAAGGUGUGGUCUUCCUACAAGAUGGACUCAGCUUCUUUCCCUCUUGGUGUCAUCAAGGAUUACAAUGCAUGCCUCUUGCAUCUCUUUUGAGGAGGCAGAAGCCACCCCAACUGGCACUUACAGAUCAUCCACAGCACUCAGAAGAAGAUGAGAAAGUUGCUGGUAUAUUUCAGCUUGCUUCAUUAAAAACAACUCU